AGCUGGUGUUGUGAAUCAGGCCGCUGAAGAGACACGUACGGCUUUUUCACAACGCCAGGGU
rnacentral:pre_miRNA from 1 species